rnacentral:ncRNA from 1 species
UACAGGAGAGUGGUACUCGUUACCCGCCGAAGGAGCAACGACCCCGGAAUCUCUCAGGCCAAAGGACUGUAA